rnacentral:rRNA from 1 species
UACGUAGGUGGCAAGCGUUGUCCGGAAUUAUUGGGCGUAAAGCGCGCGCAGGCGGUCCUUUAAGUCUGGUGUGAAAGCCCACGGCUCAACCGUGGAGGGUCAUUGGAAACUGGGGGACUUGAGUGCAGAAGAGGAAAGCGGAAUUCCACGUGUAGCGGUGAAAUGCGUAGAGAUGUGGAGGAACACCAGUGGCGAAGGCGGCGUUCUGGUCUGUAACUGACGCUGAGGCGCGAAAGCGUGGGGAGCAAACAGG